GAUGAACGCUGGCGGCGUGCCUAAUACAUGCAAGUAGAACGCUGAAGCUUGGUGCUUGCACCGAGCGGAUGAGUUGCGAACGGGUGAGUAACGCGUAGGUAACCUGCCUCUUAGCGGGGGAUAACUAUUGGAAACGAUAGCUAAUACCGCAUAAAAGUCGAUAUCGCAUGAUAUUGAUUUGAAAGGUGCAAAUGCAUCACUAAGAGAUGGACCUGCGUUGUAUUAGCUAGUUGGUGAGGUAACGGCUCACCAAGGCGACGACACAUAGCCGACCUGAGAGGGUGAUCGGCCACACUGGGACUGAGACACGGCCCAGACUCCUACGGGAGGCAGCAGUAGGGAAUCUUCGGCAAUGGGGGCAACCCUGACCGAGCAACGCCGCGUGAGUGAAGAAGGUUUUCGGAUCGUAAAGCUCUGUUGUAAGAGAAGAACGAGUGUGAGAGUGGAAAGUUCACACUGUGACGGUAACUUACCAGAAAGGACGGCAAU
rnacentral:rRNA from 1 species